UACGUAGGGGGCAAGCGUUGUCCGGAUUUAUUGGGCGUAAAGAGCGUGUAGGCGGCCGCACAGGUCCGUUGUGAAAACUGGAGGCUCAACCUUCAGACGUCGAUGGAAACCGUGCGGCUAGAAUCCGGAAGAGGAGAGUGGAAUUCCUGGUGUAGCGGUGAAAUGCGCAGAUAUCGGGAGGAACACCUGUGGCGAAGGCGGCCCCCUGGUUGGAUACUGACGCUGAGGAGCGAAAGCAUGGGGAGCGAACAGG
rnacentral:rRNA from 1 species